GUGGGGAAUAUUGGACAAUGGGCGAAAGCCUGAUCCAGCCAUGCCGCGUGUGUGAAGAAGGUCUUCGGAUUGUAAAGCACUUUAAGUUGGGAAGAACCGUCCUCAUUAAUGAGUGACCUGACGGUACCAUAGGAAUAAGCACCGGCUAACUCCGUGCCAGCAGCCGCGGUAAUACGGAGGGUGCAAGCGUUAUCCGGAUUCACUGGGUUUAAAGGGUGCGUAGGCGGAUAAAUAAGUCAGUGGUGAAAUCAACGGGCUCAACCUGUUAACUGCCAUUGAUACUGUGUAUCUUGAAUAUGAGAGAGGUAGGCGGAAUGUUGCAUGUAGCGGUGAAAUGCUUAGAUAUGCUACGGAACACCGAUUGCGAAGGCAGCUUACUAUUUCGUAAUUGACGCUGAGGCACGAAAGCGUGGGUAGCGAACAGGAUUAGAAACCCCGGUAGUCC
rnacentral:rRNA from 1 species